rnacentral:rRNA from 1 species
CUUGAACGCUGGCGGCAGGCCUAACACAUGCAAGUCGAACGAGUGGCGGACGGGUGAGUAAUGUCUGGGAAACUGCCCGAUGGAGGGGGAUAACUACUGGAAACGGUAGCUAAUACCGCAUACCAUCGGAUGUGCCCAUAUGGGAUUGGCUAGUAGGGGGGGUAACGGCUCACCUAGGCGACGAUCCCUAGCUGGUCUGAGAGGAUGACCAGCCACACUGGAACUGGUACACGGUCCAGACUCCUACGGGAGGCAGUAGUGGGGAAGAUUGCACAAUGGGCGCAAGCCUGAUGCAGCCAUGCCGCGUGUAUGAAGAAGGCCUUCGGGUUGUAAAGUACUUUCAGCGGGGAGGCGUUACCCGCAGAAGAAGCACCGGCUAACUCCGUGCCAGCCGCCGCGGUAAUUC